CUACCCUCCUCUUUCUUGCCAGUGACCACACGUGAUCCACCAGACCGUCAGUCUUAAGCUGUGGUUAGCGAGCGUGAUCAACAAAGUUCCGCUUGACAACCCAUUCUACCCAUUAAUAUAAAUUUGCUCGCUUGAUCAUCGCAUGCAUAUGCAGUCUCUUCAAAAUCCAAAGAGAGAAACAUGGCUGACCAGCGAGUUUUCACACUGUCACAGGUCGCCCAACACAAAUCCAAGAAAGAUUGCUGGCUUGUUAUUGAUGGCAGAGUGCUUAACGUCACAAAGUUCUUGGAAGAGCACCCAGGGGGAGAAGAGGUGCUGAUAGAAUCAGCAGGAAAGGAUGCAACUAAGGAGUUCAAGGAUAUUGGACACAGCAGGGCAGCCCAGAACCUACUCCUCAAGUACCAGGUGGGCGUUCUUCCAGGUUACACUUUCAAAGAGGGGAACAUCAUGGAUUCUUCCAUCAAGGAACCCAAGAAAAAGGAAAUGAGUGCUUUUGUGAUCAACGAUGAUGGCCUGCCCAAGUACGCAGCUUUUCUGGAGUUCUUUGUGCCCCUUUUAGUCGCUGGUUCCUACUUCAGUUACAGAUACCUUACCAGGAUUGUCAAUUAGAUGCUCUGGAUCGAUAGUGGAUUAUAAAUCUCUCUUUGUUUUAUCAAUUAGAUCCACUUUAUCAGUGUUGGAUUAUUUAUCCCUCUUUGUUUCAUCUGCAGCCGUUUACUUAUCAGUUAUGUAUCAUAAUGCAUUACCAUAUUCCAGCUACUUGAAUAAAGUGAUGUAAUUUUCGUUGGCUCAUUUCAAAUUUGUCAUUCAGGCUUCCUUUCAGCACAUACUACCAGAAAAUUACAAACCCUCAAUUACAACAUAAUCAGCUUUCCAUGCUUGGGAUAUUGAAAGUUUAGCCACAAUCAGAUGCGAAUUUCUCUGUUCCCCACACCCCAAGCCAAAGAAAAAGGUGAAGCAGAAGAGAAGAAGCCAUCCUCACACAAACAAAUGCAUCAGAUGACAACAUGACAAUAGCUUCCACACUGGGUUGAAGGCAGAGAAAAUAUUUCAAAAGUUUCACUUCAAACUUAAUGACUGAUUCCCUCUAAAAGAAGACUAAAAAACUUCAUGCACUGACGCGCAGAAAUAUAAGCAUUUCACCAUAUCUAUUAUAACCAUUCAUUUACAAAUAGAUAAAUAAAUGAUGUGAAAAGGAAAGAUUUUUGAUAUCCAAAUAUAGAAUCUGUUGGUACCCAUUAAUAACAAAGAUAAUAAGCUGGAAGUUACCUAAGCACUAAAUCACUGAAAAUGGUGUGUGUGUGUGUGUAUAAAGCAGCUAUACAAUCAUAGUUGUACAAAGAUGCAAAUGUGACUACAAGAGAAAAGAUUGCAUUACAGGAUCCAAUAACAUACAAGAAUCAUCCUUUGCUAACUUUCUAUGUGACUCUUGGCUCUUACAAUAAUACAACAUAAAUUGCCCCUCGUCAAAGAAAUCAAAAUUUGAAGGGAAAGGGAAGAAUCAUUGAAUUAGAUACUAGAGAGAGUAAGGGAUGAAGGCGGAAGUUAUACGUGGAACAAAAUGUUGCAGCAUACAAAAAAUGAAAAACCUACCUAUAUCCCUAAUGAGCCACUUAAUGAACAAACCUUUUCCAGGACACUUAUCCUACAUCUUGCCCCUAGAACACCCUUCACGCCACAUAUUGCCCCUGCUGUAAAAUGCAGAAUGAAGAUUACAUAGGUCCUCACAAUGCACGUAAUGCAAUUAACACAAUUAAACAAAAGAAAAGAAAAAUCCAGAGAACCACUUGAACAGGCCGACUAUAUUGCAUUUGAUAUUGAGACCGUUGAAGCUGUCUCUGUAUAACUCCAUACCAGCCAUAAAGUUGCUUAGCGUAACAUUCAUCACAACCAUCCAGGCAGCUCUUACUUUUUUGAUAAUAUGCAUGAACGCCCUUGGUCGCUUGUGAAGAACGCAAGGGUACAGUAUCAUAUUCUUCUUUAUUAUCCAUUGCCUUCCAUUUCCUAACACCACUCUUUGGCAACUUGAGUUCGGAUGCACAAUCCAUGGAACUUAAAAAUCCUGAUAAACUAGGUGCUUUUCGCGGGGGUCUCAGGGGUUGCCCAUCGGAAGAAUUUGGUUGACAGCUAACUUCAGCAAUCGCAAUCUUCCAAGCACCAAUGUCAGCACUAGCACUGGCUGUCCUCCUAUGCUCAUGAGAUUUCUCAUCUCUGGCCUCCAAGGAAUCCCACUCGACUAAAUUGUUUGAGCCCUUCAAACAACUAGUGGUCAAUCCUUUACUAAUCUUUUGUUGGUUUUUAUCAUCCCCGUUAUGAUUUUUUAGAGAAGCGGUGUCUCCAAGUGCUGAUGGCCCUGACAAAAAUAAUGCAAGUUCAUUACACUCGCCUUCAUCUAAUCGCACCCAAGGCGAUGAUGCCUUGCCCUCCAAAAGGGCGGACUCAUGUAAUGAAUGUUCAAUUUUUGAAAUCUGGUCCUCAAUUGCUAUGAUAAAUUCACGAUGCCUGUCUCUUGAAUCCUCACUAGAGCUCUGAUUGUAACUUGACCUGACAGCACGUUGAAACUCCUCUAACUGCCAUUUGGUGGUGCCAAGGGCAGUACGAAGAUCGCGGUGGAGUUCCUCAGAGUUCCACAAACUUGAAGCGUCCUUCUUUGAAUGCAUCCAGGUUCUAUAUGUUGAUUCCAUCCUGUCUGCUGAUUCUUGAACUUCCUCCGCCGCAGAGAAGAAAGGAUCCUUCUCCCACCGAUCAAAACUCGAAGCCAUUGUGAGACCAGCAACUCAAAAUUAAAUUAAUUUUUCACCAAAUUAAUAAAUAAUAUUUAAAAAAAAAAAGCGAUUACGAGGUAUUAAAAAAAAAACCCUAGCUUAUAGAUUCUGCGUCCUUAAUCUGGUAAUUAGUCUUUGUUAAAAUAACAUGGCAACUGAAAAUACACAGAACCGAAGAUUGGAAUCUAAAACACGCGUGGGAAGGAGAAGCCUUUCGGGUUUUGCAGUUAGCUGCACAGAAAAUCUGAUACAAUAGCUCGUGCGAUUUAAUAAUGUACACAAGAAGGAUCACGGCAGCCACCUGAUCCUAAUAAAGGAGUCGUCAAAAGUAGAUAAUCUCAUUUGUCGCAUGACUAAUCUGAGAAGCAUUUUAUAUUUAUCCUGUUCUAGAACGAUGGCGUUUCAACGCGGCGUGAUUAGAGAGUCAGAAUUCAGAAACGCGGUCAAAUUUAGUGUACGACAAAAUGCCAGUCCAAGUAGAUAGGCCAUGACCACCCCCCCUUCAGCUGUAUAUGGAUGGAUUGUUCUAAACUACCCUCUAUUAAUUUGAUCAUUCCUUUCUCUUUUGAAAUCCAAAAACCUAUAAUAAAUGCAUCAACUGCAUUCCUAGUUAUUGCUCUCCUUGUCAGCCAAUGGCCAUAUCGUUUCACGCAACCAUGACUAUAAGUUGAAGAAGCUGCAGAUAUUGCGAAAUCGCCGGUGUUUUAUGAGGUUUCAACCAACUAGUUUGGCUGUUGCAGCAAUAGCAAGAGACUCUGACAGUUCAAUUCUUGGAUGGUCUUGCCGUCAAUUUCUAAGAAGCCAUCCUUCUUACUCAAACUAGAGGUCACUCUGUUAUUUAGAUUGAAGGAAACUUCUUAGUUACAAUUCAAGUUAUUGGGCAAUCAUUAAGCAGGCCCAUAUUCAUUGUUGAUUUGAUCAAUGAUCAGCU
rnacentral:misc_RNA from 1 species